rnacentral:rRNA from 1 species
GACGAAGGGGGCUAGCGUUGUUCGGAAUUACUGGGCGUAAAGCGAGUGUAGGUGGUUGUUCAAGUGGGAUGUGAAAGCCUUGAGCUCAACUCAAGAAAUGCAUUCAGGACUGAGCGACUAGAGGACCGGAGAGGAUAGUGGAAUUCCCAGUGUAGUGGUGAAAUACGUAGAGAUUGGGAAGAACACCAGUGGCGAAGGCGGCUAUCUGGACGGUUUCUGACACUAAGACUCGAAAGCGUGGGGAGCAAACAGG